CUCUCUCUCUCUCUCUCUUUCCCCAUUGAUAUCUCUCUCUCUCCGGCGUGAGGGCCUCCGGAAAUUGACCAGAACCCUAAAUCCCUCGCUGGAACUCUAAGCCUUAGGGCCUCCGCUGCCUUAUACAGCCUCCACGUCGUAUCCUUCAUCCUCGGCACAUCGUCGCCGCUGAUAGCAACGCCGCCGCCUCUGUGUCCUCGAUCUCAUCGAAGUCUGGAGCCGACCCGAACAUCGACGAGCCGUAACAGAUCGAUCUCAGAUCUUCAAAUCUGAACGACGAGACCUCUACCUCGUCUGAUCCUCCGAUCAUCCCAUCGUCAUUGCCGGCAGCACCUUCUCCGAUCGGCCUCGGCACGUCGAUGAGCUAGAGGAUUUUGGUGUGUUUUGUGUUUCUGUUGAGGAUUUUGGUGUGUUUAUGUUGAUGAAUGGAGUGUUUUGUUUUUCUGUUGAGGAUUUUGGUGACUUUCAAUGAGCUAGAGGCUGCUGCCAUGGCAUGUGCUAAUCUGAUGGCCACCAGACGACUUGUAAUCUAGCUUCAGGUGGUGGUAGUAGUUUUUGUAGAUGGUAGUAGCAGCUUUUGUGGCUAGUAGUAGUAUUUUUUGUGUUAGUCGGAAACCUCACAGUAGUAGCUUUUGUAGGCGGUGGUAGUAGUUUUUGUGGCUGGUGGUAGUAGCUUUUGUGGCUGGUGGUAGUAGUUUUUGUGUUUCGUCGGAAACCUCACAGUAGUAACUUUUGUAGGCGAUGGUAGUAGCUUUUGUAGCUGGUGGUAGUAGCUUUUGUGGCUGGUGGUAGUAGUUUUUGUGUUUUGUCAGAAACCUCACAGUAGUAGCUUUUGUAGGCAGUAGUAGUAGCUUUUAUAGACGGUGGUAGUAGCUUUUGUAGCUGGUGGUAAUAGCUUUUGUGGUCGGUGAUAGUAGUUUUUGUGUUCGUCGGAAACCUCACAGUAGUAGCUUUUGUAAGCGGUGGUAGUAGCAUUUGUAGCUUGUGGUAGUAGCUUUUGUGGUUGGUGGUAGUAGUUUGUGGUAGUAGCUUUUGUGUUUAUUGAAAACCUCACAGUAGUAGCUUUUGUAGGCGGUGGUAGUAGCUUUUGUAGCUGGUGAUAGUAGUUUUUGUAGGUGGUAGUAGUAAUUUUUGUCAUCGUCGGAGGUCAGUCGGAAACCUCACCGGAGGUCGGCCGGAAACCUCGCCGGAGAUCAGCCGGAAACCUCGCCUGAGGUCGGCCGGAGACUUUUCCACGAUGAGAGUGGUUGUUGACUUUUUAUACUAGUGACAUUCUUGUAAAUAUAAAGGAGAGAAUCUAAUGUUUUUUAUUGGAUGGCAGUCUGUAAUUUUAUUUAACUUUUAUACCUAAUAUAAAACCCUAUUUAGGCUUAGGUGGACUUAUGUGAGUAAAAAUGUUUGGGUGGACUUAUCUGUAAUAAAAUAUCUGAAAAUGGACUUCUAUGUAAUUGACCCUAAGAUAUUAUAAUUAACCUACUCAAAUAUAAUUAAAAUCAUUUAUCUUGUAUAAGACGUCAGUGUAUGAUGCACCGUCGAAUCGUUCAAUGAUAUAUAAAAUCUGUGUAAAAAGGUUGAGUAAAAAAUUAUGGCAUUUCCUUUUUGGUUUAUUGUUUGAGGUGAAAUUGGUGAAAAAUCCAGAAUACGUAAGAUUAAUUAAUAGCCGUUGGCUUGUUUCUCAACUGGGAUUUUGUCUUACGCGCCAAGUGGCUUUACGCGCGCGUCAGUCUGCAACAAUCUAGAAACUAGAAUCUGACAGCCUGCUCUUGGACUGAUCUCCUACAAGCAGGAUCACGCCAAUUACGGGUAAGACAGCACCAGAAUAUUGCCACGUGGCUCAAUACUGCAAUCCUGAUGGACUUCCAAACCUCUUCAAUGAUGCGCAACGAAGAAAAGCUUGGUUUUGUUGAGCUUUCGCAACUAGGGGCGAUGAAAGUCUUGAGGAGUCAUCGAACAACAUAAAAUGUCGGAAAAAAAAAAUAAAAAAAUUCCGUGCACUCACUUUUCUGAAACAGUUAAGAAGAAGAUUGAAUUUUCGGAUAUCAAUUGAUGAAUUAAAAUUAAAAACUCAAUCACAAUAUAUCAAUACGAACAGAAAUAACGUAAACUCUAAUUAAAAUGAAAAUUUUUGUAUUGAAUCAUAUAAACAGAGCGAGCGAGGUUGCUACAACUCAUUAAUUCCGAGUUAGUUCCACCAUAACAUAACCAAGUGUUUCUUUGGGUUUCCGACGUGGUAGGGUUUAGAUGUUCUUGUACAAAACAUUAUUUCCAAUUUGACUGUGUUUGGUGAACACAUUCAUAUAUAUGUACAGCUCUGUAAUGAAUGGCAAUUUGACUUCAAUCUCGAUCUGGUAAAACAUAUAUAUAUGAUGCAGGAUUAAUAGCCCUCUGCUGGUCCAUAUUUGCGGGUGAGCUCUUCAAUAUGGUGUAGU
rnacentral:lncRNA from 1 species